CUGGCUGGUUGCCAGUCUUCCUGUCAUUUAAGCUGUGUCUGCUUGGUUUAAAAUGUAGAGUUUUGUGAGGUGGAGGUUGAGGACCUUAGUUAUCAGGAUUUACACCUGGGAGCCAGAGAAUGGACUGGCUGUUGGAUAUAAAAAAAGGACAGAAUAGCAGCAGAGGAGACAUCAAGGAAGACGUGGAGAUACGACAGAACACUCGGAACAAGCGGCGAAGCAGAUGGGAGAUCAGACAAAGACACAAAGGGAAACAACCUUAGAGCGGCCUGAAGCUACAGUGAAGCAACCCAAACACCGACCGCCAGCGGAAAAAGUGGGGGAGUGUGGAACUCUCCCUUCCGCGUAAGUCCCGUUUUGAGACCGGUGUUAGGUGGGGAUAAACGUGAUUAAGUGAUAACAGUUGCUGAGGACGUGUUACUGGCCGAGUUUUUUCUGUUGCAGGUUAUAUCCGAGGAAGGCGGCACAAGGAGAGGAAACUGGUUGCCAGCAGAACCCUGUGGACUUUGUAAAGUCAAGACUCCUGUUCUGUUUAGACUGUUUUAGUUGAUUUUUAGUUUUUUUCUUUUUUUUAAAUCCCUUUUUUUUAGUACAUUUUAUUGUUUUAUCCUUGUUAAAAUAAAUGUGGUUUCUUAA